AGCACUUCUGUUUCUGUUUGGUCAUCCUGGUGUUGAGCACGUUGCAGUCUAUGGUGCUCACACGCCUGGCUAAGUGUGGCACUCUCUGGCCCUGCAGCCUCUCCAAGUCCAAAGACUCACUGCUUAAAGACACAGACAAUGAAGAGGAAUCCAAAUCUGAUAUUACUGUCAUCAAACUGAAAGCCUCAGAGGAAGAGAAGAAUACAGCCCUCCAAAAGAUGGUGAAAUGUAUCAACAAAAUGGCUGCACAAGAUCAGAAAAAAGCAAGACGCCAUCGCCUUGCCAACAAAGUGGACUUAAUCUGUUUCUGUAUCUAUCUCACUGUCCUCAUCGUUUAUGCAGUCAUCAUUUUAUAUUUCUCCUUUGGUUCUUCAUGCGAGAUCAACCAUUUAGAAUUCUGGGAAUACUAAAUUGUUUAUUUGCUUUUAACAAAAAUAUUGAAAGAAAUGGUGGUCAUAUGAUAGAGAAAGCAUUCCUAGAUCGUUCCUAUUGUGGCGUCUGAGCGCACGGGCAGUGCCAUUGAGGCAAUCUCCAUUUUGAAGUAGUCAAUUUUCUUCUUCUACUAUUUCAAUGAGUUGGUAAACAAAUUGAAAGAGUGCAUCCUGCCACAUGUAGUGAACAGGUAUAAAGUUAAGGUUGAUGAUUUACUGCCACAUGUAGUGAACAGGUAUAAAGUUAAGGUUGAUGAUUUACUGCCACAUGUAGUGAACAGGUAUAAAGUUAAGGUUGAUGAUUUACUGCCACAUGUAGUGAACAGGUAUAAAGUUAAGGUCGAUGAUUUACUGCCACAUGUAGUGAACAGGUAUAAAGUUAAGGUUGACGAUUUACUGCCACAUGUAGUGAACAGGUAUAAAGUUAAGGUUGAUGAUUUACUGCCACAUGUAGUGAACAGGUAUAAAGUUAAGGUUGACGAUUUACUGCCACAUGUAGUGAACAGGUAUAAAGUUAAGGUUGAUGAUUUACUGCCACAUGUAGUGAACAGGUAUAAAGUUAAGGUUGACGAUUUACUGCCACAUGUAGUGAACAGGUAUAAAGUUAAGGUUGACGAUUGCAGCUAUGGAAUGUUUCCUCACAAUAAUGAAUUGGCUGAUCCCUACUGAUGACCCGAAUGGAAUCAUGUGCUCCUUCCUUAGUCCUUCCUUCAAAAAUGGCUCAAGUCCCAUGCUGCUGCCAAUGCUAAUACAGGUGUUUAAGUCCCAUGCUGCUGCCAAUGCUAAUACAGGCGUUUAAGUCCCAUGCUGCUGCCAAUGCUAAUACAGGUGUUUAAGUCCCAUGCUGCUGCCAAUGCUAAUACAGGCGUUUAAGUCCCAUGCUGCUGCCAAUGCUAAUACAGGUGUUUAAGUCCCAUGCUGCUGCCAAUGCUAAUACAGGCGUUUAAGUCCCAUGCUGCUGCCAAUGCUAAUACAGGCGUUUAAGUCCCAUGCUGCUGCCAAUGCUAAUACAGGCGUUUAAGUCCCAUGCUGCUGCCAAUGCUAAUACAGGCGUUUAAGUCCCAUGCUGCUGCCAAUGCUAAUACAGGCGUUUAAGUCCCAUGCUGCUGCCAAUGCUAAUACAGGCGUUUAAGUCCCAUGCUGCUGCCAAUGCUAAUACAGGCGUUUAAGUCCCAUGCUGCUGCCAAUGCUAAUACAGGCGUUUAAGUCCCAUGCUGCUGCCAAUGCUAAUACAGGCGUUUAAGUCCCAUGCUGCUGCCAAUGCUAAUACAGGCGUUUAAGUCCCAUGCUGCUGCCAAUGCUAAUACAGGCGUUUAAGUCCCAUGCUGCUGCCAAUGCUAAUACAGGCGUUUAAGUCCCAUGCUGCUGCC